GGGGUUGUGGCUUAGUGGUAGAGUGCUCACCUAGCAUGUGUGGGGCAUUGCGUUUGAUCCUCAGCACCA
rnacentral:tRNA from 1 species